rnacentral:rRNA from 1 species
GCCAAGAAAAGCCGCUAUAGAUCAUAUCGUACCCGUACCGUAAACCGACACAGGUAGAUGAGGAGAGAAUCCUAAGGCCGACGGGAGAAGCAUUGUUAAGGAACUCGGCAAAAUGACCCCGUAACUUCGGGAGAAGGGGUGCCCACGCGAGUGGGCCGCAGAGAAUAGGCUCAAGCAACUGUUUAGCAAAAACACAGGUCUAUGCGAAACCGAAAGGUGAGGUAUAUGGGCUGACGCCUGCCCGGUGCUGGAAGGUUAAGAGGAGGAGUCAGGCAACGAAGCUCCGAAUUUAAGCCCCAGUAAACGGCGGCCGUAACGAUAACGGUCCUAAGGUAGCGAAAUUCCUUGUCGGGUAAGUUCCGACCCGCACGAAAGGCGUAAUGAUUUGAGCACUGUCUCGACAAUGCACCCGGUGAAAUUGAAGUACCAGUGAAGAUGCUGGUUACCUGCGCCAGGACGGAAAGACCCCAUGGAGCUUUACUCCAGUUUGAUACUGGGAUUCGAUACUGAAUGUACAGGAUAGGUGGGAGGCUGAGAAGCGUGGACGCCAGUCUGCGGUGAGCCGCUGUUGGGAUACCACCCUUUGAGUAUUGGAUUUCUAACCUGCGCCCGUGACCCGGGCGGGGGACAAUGUCUGACGGGGAGUUUGACUGGGGCGGUCGCCUCCGAAAGGGUAUCGGAGGCGCUCAAAGGUUCCCUCAGAAUGGUUGGAAACCAUUCGCAGAGUGCAAAGGCAGAAGGGAGCUUGACUGUGACACCGACGGGUGGAGCAGGUACGAAAGUAGGACUUAGUGAUCCGGUGGUAUGAAAGUGGGAUUGCCAUCGCUCAACGGAUAAAAGCUACCCUGGGAUAACAGGCUUAUCACUCCCAAGAGUUCACAUCGACGGAGUGGUUUGGCACCUUGAUGUCGGCUCAUCGCAUCCUGGGGCUGUAGCAGGUCCCAAGGGUUGGGCUGUUCGCCCAUUAAAGCGGUACGCGAGCUGGGUUCAGAACGUCGUGAGACAGUUCGGUCCCUAUCCGGCGCAGGCGUAGGAUAUUUGAGAGGAGCUGUCCUUAGUAGGAGAGGACCGGGAUGGACAGACCGCUGGUGUAUCUGUUGGUGACCAACACCAUGGCAGAGUAGCCAAGUCUGGCAGGGAUAAACGCUGAAGGCAUCUAAGCGUGAAGCCCCCCUCAAGAUGAGAUAUCCCAAUAAGUAAGACCCCUUAGAGAGUAUGAGGUAGAUAGGCUUAAGGUGUAAGCAUAGUAAUAUGUUCAGCUGAUAAGUACUAAUAGGUCGAGGGCUUAUCU